rnacentral:tRNA from 2 species
GCGGUUGUAGUCUAGCCUGGCAUGACACAGGCCUUCCAAGCCUGUAACCCCGGGUUCAAAUCCCGGCGGCCGCACCA